UUUCUGGAGAGUGUAUAAGUGUGUGCGUGACACGUACGACUGGCUGCGAAUGGUGUCUAUGACCCAUAUAACACGCCCAAGCGUAACUAGGUCGUGCACCUCUGUAUCCCCUGGAAUAAUACAGGGUGUCCUCCUUCGAAAAAAGAAACUGGGUCUCCCAGCUGCUGAGUAAAGAAGGAUCAAGGACUAACCCGCUGUUCCAAGAAAACGUGUGCCCGCGCGAGACAGCGGAGACUAAGUUUCAGAAACAAUCGAUUUUUAUGUGCCCGAUGUUCAAAUGGUGCAGCCACUUUUUUAAAGCUCCAAUUUCCAUUUUAAACAGAUGAAAUGAAGGAUUCUAGUAACGGCGCUCAUCGAGAAUAAUCGAUGCGAGAUAUUGAUGUCGAAUGGUGCAAUAACAACCGCGUUAAUUUGGAAUCGUGUGGGAUAGCGUCCUAUAUCUUCCCCAAUCUCGUAGGGUUACGGCGGAACAAAAGUUAAAACACGUAGUUCGAACUACUUUCAGCCCCGUCCGAUGGUUUCCGACACGCGACAUUAGGCUAUUCCUCCCGAUGACGCAUUCUGAAUCAGUCUAUCAAGACAUCGAUACACCGGGUUAAUUGUAGAUCGAAAGGGGUGCGUUUAGUUUGCCGACGCAUCGCAAUUUGUAAACACCUUUCAGCGGGUUUUAAAAAUGACACGUGUAUACAACGCGGUUCGAUUAAAAAAAUAAUAAUGUUCAAUGGAAACUAGGUCGAUGGUUGCACGAUGUAAAGAAAAUUGAAUCGCCCUAUCGGGAGUUAAUUAAUCAUUUUGGAGCAGCUCUAUUGUGAAGCGUUCCAAAGAGCAUGGCCUUGGGAGCCAAGGGUGAGAGCGGCCGGGAAAGAAUUUUUCGCGCGGUCCAAAGAAGAGAGGACCAGUCGGAAAACCCAAUUCCAGGAAGUAACCUAAUUCCUGCGGGAGGGAUGACCCAGCCACGAGGAGACGGCCGGAGCACGGGGUAGGAUAUUCCGCAGGAGGUGGGAUAUAUGGGGAGGUUAGAGGCCGCCAGGGGGGUACGUUCAGUUUAGCAAUACGUGCCAGUCCGAUGCACCCCUUGUCGCCAUGGAAACGACCUACUCUCCCUGGACAGACGCAACGGCCACCCUCCGCGUGUUAAACAUUUCGAACAAGGAUACCUUUCAACCAUUUUCUGACAAUGCAUCUAUUUCUCAAAUGAAUAUAAGCUCCAGAAAGGAAGAAAACAGAACUGUUCCGUAAUAUAAGUUGUCAAUAAAUUACUUUAUUAAAAUAAAUUUUGUACGAUACAACAGGCUCAGAUCUUCCAGUUUUUUUUUAAUAUAAAUACUUCUAGACGAUAUUUGUUAUCGAUUCGCUCGGUGUCAAGUAGAUAGAAAAUUAGCCAAUCUCUCUCAAUACCAAUCGGUUCUACAGGAUAUUUAUGAAAGGGUGCCAAACUCCUUUGGCAACGUCCACCGCGUUGAUUAAACAACGAACGGAGCGAAGAGCGACAGGCUAAUACAACUUCGAGUGGACUUUUCAUUAUGGAAGAUCGAAUUCUUUUUUUUUUCGGUCGGAUGUAGUAGACGACGCUCGCCCAACAACUUCCAAGAAGCGUGAAACCAUGCCGGAAGUAAGAUGAGACGGAUGGGGGCGAUAUUUAUAGAAUAAGCGAUAUCGAGCCGCGUGAUUUAACAGUAGGAUGAAAAAUCCUAUUUGCCAGAGGCAGCUGACAAAUUUUGACUAAGUUCAAAUCGAGUAGGAAUCGAGUGCCGCAGUGUGCGCGGGAUAGGUGGUUUUCCGGGACGAUUGAGUAUCUCUGCCACAUUCGCUCCCGCAGUAAACUUUAUUUCCAUUCUCAUUUUUAUGUCUCCCUCUCGCGAAACCGUUUAUAAUCCCACGGAAGUGGAAAAGGAACUCCCGGAAACGGAGGAGCGUAUCGCAUAAUACUCUUAACUGUGAUCAACGAAUUUGCGUAUUAUGCAAUUAUCGAACCGAGGGUAACCGAUUUCCAAAUAGUGCUCUGACCACGAUGCCUCGAAGCCAGACGCAAAAUUAUCGAUCACGGGCUUCCCAGAACAGAGAGAAAGCGCGUACAACGACUGGACGAUUGUUUUUCGCGUGAUUCGCAUCAGGAAAAGCGAUAGCAGCUGCCGCACGAUUUUCUUCACCGAUGGACAAGUCCGAUGACUACUACGAGAAGCUAAAAAGACAAUGGCGAGAUCCGGCUGGCCCGGAUCCAACCGGUAUUAUUUUAGUUGUAUAUCCUGAGGCAUAAGUCGAUCGCCUAUUACGACAUUAGAACGAUCGUUGACGUCUGUCGCCACUAGAAUUAUAAUUGUACAACUGUUUUCAAUGAGUUACUCAAUCCGUCAUAAAACAAUUCUAUGGAAUCGUGUCAUGUUUAUUCCAGCAAGCAUUUGUACGUCAAGCUUCUGUGAUCUAAUAAAAAUAAUAUUGAACAGUACCAGAUUCGCUUGUUCACUGUUCUACGAAAAAUGGUUUGGCUUUUCAGGGAGACGAAGAUCAGAUUCGCGAUUCACGCGAGAGAUGUUCAUCGAUCUACUGCAAAAAAAUAAUUACAGCCAACCUGGGAAUACACUAGCGCUUAAUUAAUAAAGUGAAUUCGGAUUCUGCAACGGGAAAACUGGGGCAACGACGGAAUCAUGGGGAACCGGAUAAAUUUUGUCGGGUCAACCCGUACAGCAGUCGACCCGAGGGUAGCUGAACCCCGUGACCUAUAUUUCCAGCAAAUAGGGCAGAGAAUAAACGACGAAGACGGAUCAUCUCUCGCACCUUCCCACGAGUAGCUACGAUUCUCUUGCACGGAUUUUCAACAAUCGGGACCCUAAUGCGUUCUCGUGAAAGCUCGGGCGUACUGAAUUAUAGAUGCCAUUUAGGACAGCCUUGACGGAAGAUAAGCAGAAACCUUGGCCAUUUCCUGUGCACCGGUAACUCCGAUGAGGAUCAACGUAGUCUAUAUAUUUUUUCUACAAAUACUCUCCUCCUUAGAUAAUAUCCAAUAUUUAUUUGCUUCUACUUAUAGAUUCUGUAUUUAUUCCUAAGGAUCGAUACUUCUAAAUAUUCCCCAAAUGCUCGAAGAUAUCUUUGGAACGAAGAACAAAUCUACAACAGAUCCAACCUGUACGAAAGUAGACGAUAUGUUCUACCGUGGUUACAAAUUUCCAAGUCAAUCCAAACGAGAUAUAAAAAAAUCGUACUGUUCGUUAAAACUAUGUACACAUAUAAUUCUUAUUGGAACCGAGCGGUUAUAUCUGAUUGAAGCAAAAAGUUUUUCGCGCGAACACGCGGUGAACUCGAGGGAUCGCACGUGAAAGCACGAACGGCUUCUGCGCUGAAUCGACCGCUAUUUAUAAUGAAAAUAUUUUCACGACGAUGCCCAAGCGACUGGCCACGUAUCUCUAUCGACAGAUAUACGUACGCAGCGUAUUUAGUACCAUCGAUCUCUCGCCACCUUUUUUCCUCACCCUCUUCUCCCAACCACGACUGGUAUAAGCAAUUAUCUACACGUUCAAUUUUAAACAUUCUCCCGGAUAACAAUUUCCAAGUAUCGUUCCUGACAUUUCCCUCAGGAACAGUUUGAGAUGAAGGGAACGGUGGCAAAGAAUUUCGAACUCGAAUCACAGUUUUUCUACUGACAAAGCGAGGACAUGUCGGAGAAAGCAACACGUGCCUCCGUUCGUCAGGGGGCAUGAAUUCACGGAUGGACGAUCAGGAAGAAUGCUCUGAAAUUGAAAGGAGCUAUAGAGAAGCGGUUUUGGGCUCAUGUCGGAUCAAUACUGCUAGCAUCCGGUUCCUCUCUCUCUCUGCCGACAGUUGCAUUUCAGUCUCCGCCUGUGAUUUCAUUGCAACUACCAAUUCCCUCCUUUCAUCGAAACAGAAUUUCCAUCAUUUCUGAUUUUCAUCAGACAAAUCGGAUCGAAGAGAAUUUUUCAAUCGUGGAAGCCUAAGAUAUUAAACUCCUUAGAGAAGAUGAUAGGAAAAAGAGGAUGGCUCCUGCAUAUCUAAUGUCAACGACGUCGUAGCAACGGACGUUGAUGAAAAUCUAAUGAACGAGGAAGAGGAGCACCCUGUUGAUUCGGUUCGAGAACGGGAGUGUUACUGGCGUGGCAAACUGUGAACUGCAUUUAACGAUGAGCCGGCAGCAAAAGUCAUACGUAAUGUUCCCGGUCGAGGACUGGUCAAUUUUGGCAUUGGUCCAGGGCUACGUCAGGACAGUCUUCUGACGCCAGCAUCAAUGAAAGAACGUGGUGGAGAGAGCGAGAGGGAGAGAAACUCGACCGGUUGACAGGUUAUAUCUCUCUGUAGGCCUCUGGACCAAAAAUAACGCGGGUGUUUUAACGCCGGACCGAUUUUCAUCGAGAGAGAAAGAUAGUCCAAUCUACGUUAAGCUAUCGUUCGAAGAAUAUAAUCGAGAUCGACGAUUAACCGUUAAAGAAAUCUGGGUAGAAAUAACUGGUUCAAUCAUUGAGGGAGGCUGAGUCAUUUUAACGGGCUAUCAUAUCAAAGGUUUCUUCCCAAUCUACCCUCAUCGUUUUACAUUUAAUUUUCAGAUGGCGUAGAACGUACCUGUGCGUGCGUAAGAACGCCCCUGCUGGCGAUACGGUUUCAUCAAACGCUACUGAACGUGUAUGACGUUUCUGCGGUGCACUACUUAUAUACGCAACAUCGUGGAGCCUUUGCUCACCGAUGGUGCAUUAUUCAAACGCAGCAGUGCAUUUUGCAUCAACCAUAGACCUCGCGGGUUCUCGUGGAGGAAGGCAACUAUAGAGCGCUUUAGUUCACUCCACAAUAGGAAUUGCAAUUCUAAUGCAUAAAACUGUGUAUUUCUAUAUCUAUUUCACGAAUAAAACAUAAUUGCCAGAUUU